rnacentral:rRNA from 1 species
UACGGAGGGUGCAAGCGUUAAUCGGAAUUACUGGGCGUAAAGCGCACGCAGGUGGCUGAGUCAGUCGAUUGUGAAAGCCCUGGGCUUAACCUGGGAAUUGCAGUCGAUACUACUCAGCUAGAGUAUGGGAGAGGGUAGUGGAAUUCCCGGUGUAGCGGUGAAAUGCGUAGAUAUCAGGAGGAACACCGGCGGUGUAGACGGCUUUCUGGACCACGACUGACGCUGAGAUACGAAAGCGUGGGUAGCAAACAGG